UGCCCCGUCCACCGCCAGAUCCGGUCAUUGCAGCAGGUGGCCCGACGCCGGCGACUGCACCGUCCAUGUCAUCUCGCCUGUGCAGGUACUUCCCUUAUUUCCCCUCCAUUGCCAUCUCUCACCAUCGAUUUCCCUCACCUCUCUUACCCUUUUCCAGAUCUGGACCGUCAUGGCGACCGCGCGUGACAUCGCCGCCGGCGGUGGGUUGCGGCCAUGGCGACCGCGCGCAACGUCAUGGAGGUCGUCCAGAAGCUCGCCUCCGACCACGCUAGGCCCCACGAUGUGAGUACCCUGCUCCCUUCUCCUUAGCUCUGCCCCCAAAUCUACUCCGACGAUGACCUCUCUGUUGUGCCCUGCAGCUGCUGUAGGAAGGGGUUAAGCUGCUGGGGACGGGGCUGCAGGGCGACCGCGCCGUGACCUUCUGCCGCCUCCUCGCCCGCAACACCGUCGGGGCCAAGCCAGCCCAACUCGCCUCCGGUACACCCACCUCCCACCUCUCUUACUCCAUGGUCGCCCUCCUCCCGCUUCUUUCCUCCCAUGCUAAUCAGCAAUUCAGGAUUCAAUUAUACAAGACCCAUGUUCAAGUUCUUGUGAGCCAAUGUCUCCUUCAUAGUUGUAUUAUCGCGAGCAACCGUUUGUUGGCCUACUUGGAUAGGAAAUAAACAUUUUUCGGUUGUUGAUGUGACAUAAGGGCAUCAUCCAAUUAGUUAGGAAAUAUUACAUAAAAAACAAAAAGGUAUGCUAGAAAUGAAGGUUUAUUUUUCAUGCUUCAUAUAAAUUGUUUACCCUACUUUCUGUAUAAGUUGAUGAAGGCCAAGAUAAGUCUCGAAGUCGAUAUCCACACAAAAGGUAUCCAUCAUUUUAUUUUCCAGUGUAUAAGUUCCUUUGGCGAUUGUAGGGCUCAAUGCUACAAAAUUUUGUGCAAUCCUGCAGUAAUAAUUCUUAGCUAGAAAUUUACAGUAUACGGUAGAUGCCAUCCUCAGUUUAGAGAGUUCUCUGUAGUUCUGGUCCUUCUGAUCUCGGUGAUCUCACUUUCCAUGGCUUGUAUAUUGUCAACCAUCAUCUCUGAUGCUUUCGCAUUUUCCUGUAAACUGAUAACCCCAGCAACAGCCAACCUGAGCACAGCCGACCUGAGCGGGAGGGAUAUGGAGCCAACGUCGUGGACACGUCGUCCGCUGCUGCUGAAG
rnacentral:lncRNA from 1 species